rnacentral:rRNA from 1 species
CAGUCGCCGCGGUAAUACAGAGGGUGCGAGCGUUAAUCGGAUUUACUGGGCGUAAAGCGUGCGUAGGCGGCUAAUUGAGUCGGAUGUGAAAUCCCCGAGCUUAACUUGGGAAUUGCAUUCGAUACUGGUUAGCUAGAGUGUGGGAGAGGAUGGUAGAAUUCCAGGUGUAGCGGUGAAAUGCGUAGAGAUCUGGAGGAAUACCGAUGGCGAAGGCAGCCAUCUGGCCUAACACUGACGCUGAGGUACGAAAGCAUGGGGAGCAAACAGGAUUAGAUACCCCGUAGUCCCUGUCUCUUAUACA